GCAUUGAGUCAGAGCAUGGCUUCUGUGCGGUUUUGGUUCAUAAAUGCUGAAGAACAUUGCUUUCUGUCCGUGCUCGUACGUGCCUCAUAAUGGAUUUCAAAUGAAAUAAUGUGCCUGUUAAUUGACUUGCCAUCUUUUAAAACAUUUCUGUAGUCACAUUGCCGGAACUGUAUAUUUCUCUUCAUUGUUUGCCACAGUGUUUCUCUGACACCUGAAUUCUGGUUUGUGAAGCUUUUCAAAUGUUUGGUUUCUGUUACUUUAAGCUCAGCCAGAACUGGCUUUCAAAGGAUCCCAUUUACUUCAGAACUUUACGCUAUUAAACUACUGCAGCUGGAAAAGUAGAUUGGUUACUGGCGUAGGGCAUGAAUUCAAUGAAUUGGGUGAAUAGUAUUAGGAGAAACCUGGCUCCUUCACACAGCAAAGCCCUAACGACUAUGAUGAAUUUUACAAAUUGAGUUGAGACUGAGCUGAGGAAUAAGCCCUCUUGCCCUUUAAUAAUUUUUAUUUUCAAAUUCAUCCCCAAAAAUGUCUUCAGAAGGUAUUUUCCACUAAUAAAUGGUCUUAAAAAUGGUUCUUUGAAAGUAUGAGUUGAUUCUUCUGUUUAUCAAAAGGAAAUGGGGAUGAAGAGUUUUUGAAUCAAAACUUGGAGGGUUUUGGUGAGUGAGCUAUUAAAGAAUUAUAUUACUGUUUCCUCAUUAUUUCUAGGGAAAUCACCAUUUUCCCUAAUGGUAGUGAUAUGGGAUGGUAUUUCCAUUAUGAAUUACCUGCCCCCCCCCCUUUUAAAUUCUGAGGCAAAAACUUCUCUCAAUUGAUUAAAAUUAUUGUAGAAAUCAUCUCCUUUAACAUUUUUAAUUCGGUAGAAGUCAUCCAGUUUGUAACAGUUUUAAUUCCAUAGGAGUAUGUGUAUAGACUGUUUUUGAGAAUCAGGUUUUCAAGCACACUUGUAAUAGCUACACAUUUAUCCCUUUACUUACCAGGAAUUAUCUUUUGGGGCCACUCUAGGGGGAGAAUCUCUCCCCUGCAAAAGUAGUAUUUCCUGAAAUGUCAGCCCUGUACAGUUGGACAGAAUUUAGUCUACUCAAACUGUCACUUGAUGUCGAUCUCCUCUGACACAGAAAGAAAUGGGUCUCAGCAAAUGCUUCUAAACACUUGGACUUUCAAUGAAGAUAAUUAGGUAGGAAGAUUGUGUUACUGCAUUUUGCGAAAUUGGAUUGAACUUGUGCAGUAACGUGGCUAAUGAAUUAAGCUCUGGUUUAGGUAGAAAAUUACUUCUGACUUGCUGUCAGUGUGGAGGAGAAAUGCCGUGGCCUGCUGUUGGUUUUAUGGUGACAUUUCUUCGAGCUCUUCUCCUGUAGUGUGCUUCCCGCCCAUAGAGCACACAAUUGGGAGAAAAUUCACAGCUUCAUAUGCUAAUCCAAGAAGUGCCACUGUACACUCUCUCCAGAGGAGAUAAAGGGAUGCAGUCAAGGGUGAGAAUGUUUGGGAAGCUGGAAUUAUCCCUGGUGUCUUGUCCCCUGAAAAGGGACACGAUGGCAAGAGGCCUCAGAUUGUUUUUAGAGAGGGGAGGUAUUUAGCCACUAGGUCAUUGUCAUCAGGAUUCUGCAGGACUCUGUUCUCUUAGUGGUUGAUACUUAGAUACCUUCCAAGUCCAGGGGACGGUAUAUUCGUACAUUGGGAAGUGUAUUAGAAAUACUGCAUUUAAAGAAUUCUAACUCCCUCCCCAGUUAAGGUUGGUUUCUAGGUGACCAGAUGGUGUCAGGUGACCCUGCUUAUGAAAUGUCACCUUUGUUUCCCUAGACUAUUAAUUCAGUCCUGCUGUCUCCCUGAGUUCUGGUGGAUUAACAUUUAAUAAAGUACCAAAUUGGAACUUAGAUAUGUAAGCCUAAAGAAAAUUAAAUUAGGAAGUGACUUUUUGCAUGACGUCUUAUAACUUUUUAUGGAAUAUGUAUGUUUUGAAAAUAUUGUAGUCUUAAAUAGAAAUUUUAUUGCUCCAGGAGAAGGUCCUUGUACAGUAAACUUCUACAGUAAAUAUUUUCUUUCCAUUAAGUAUAAAACCAUAAAAUCUUAGUGUUCAUGGUUCUCAUAAAGUGAAGUAUAAUUUUAUGAUGUAUGGAUAUAGCCUUUAUUUUAUGGGAAAUUUAUGAGUUUAUAAGUUGCCCUAGGAAAGCCAUAAUAAACUUUUAUUUACAAGUAGUUUUUUUUAAAGAAACACUAAUAAAUAAAAACUGAAUGUAGGUAUUCAGAGAUCAUUUUCUGAAGUACAUCUGCAGGUGAGCCAGAUGCUACAUCUAGAUGUAGAAAUAUAAAUAUUCCAUAUAAAGGUUGUUUCAUAAUGUUUAGCUUUUCCAAGUUGAUUCUUGUCUUACUCCUCAGUCUCACUUAUGGUUACAGGUUUAUUAUGAAAAUAGUCAAGGGGCAGAGCGACAGAAAGGACGCCCUUCCUCUGAUCCAUUCCCUAAGUGCUCCAAGACUCAAUCCAGGUGUCCCAUAUGGGCACCAGGAACCCAGCCCUGGAGCCAUCACCGGUGCGCCCCACGGCCUGUAUUUACAGGAAGCUAGAAUUGGAGCCAGAAGCAGAAACUGAACCCCAACAUGCUGACGUUGAAUAUGGGUGUCAACCACUAGGCCAAGUGCCCACCAUGGUUACCUGUUCCUCAUAAUGUAUUUUGCUUACCUUUAGUAGAGUGAUCUCAGUAGCAGUUUAAUAUCUUUGUUUUUACUUUAUGUCCUGGACACAAGAUGUAGAUGGUAAAGAAUGAUGACUCUGUCAGAGCUUCUUCAAGCAAGUUUUAACUUGAAUUGACACAUAAUAAUUGCAAAUUUUUGUGAGGUACAACAUGACAUUUCUGUCUCAUGUAUGCAAUGUGUACUGCAUCAGGACUGUUAAUGAGCAAACCACUUCCCUUGUCUGAGAACCAUUAGAAUAUAAACCUGUAGAAGUCCACAUACCUGUUGAUAAAAGUCUUGGCUGUUUGUUGGCAUGCUGCCACCUAUUUGGAACUUAAUAGCAUCCAAGCACAUUGGUUAAAAUAGAAUACUUAUUGGAAUAAGUUGAAAUAAUUACUUAAUGACUAUUUUAAUACCACUUCAAAUUAGCCACAGAGUUCAAAUAGAUGUUGGCUUAUCCUGUUUCUUAAUAUGCUCGUUUGAAAUAAAUAUCAUAAAGAUGAAGACCUAUUUUAUCCCAAGGAGACAACGUGAGUUGGGAAUUAGAUACCUCAGCAUUUCUUAGUUUCUUAAGGUUGGGAAGUGUAGUGGCUGGCGCCGUGGCAUAGUGGGUAAAGCUGCCGCCUGCAGUGCUGGCAUCCCAUGUGAGUGCCAGUUCAAGACCCAGCUGCCCCACUUCCUGAGUCCUUGGGCCCCUGUACCUGCGUGAGAGACCCAGAAGAAGUUCCUGGCUUCAGAUUGACAGUUCUGGCUGUUACAGCCAACUGGGGAGUGAACCAAUGGAUGAAAGGCCCUCCCUCCCUGCCUUUCCUUCUUGCAUAUGCAUAUGUCUUCUAGUCUGACCAUUUUUCGGCCAGCUGGCUGGGGAAUUCAUCCUUGAGCACCUUUAGUCAUGUGGAACUCAUUAUCUCUCAGUCCAUCCAUUGGAAUGUUUGUGUAACUGAGUGGAGGUUUCUGCCUUCUGAAAAUGUCUGUCACUUCAACCUUGCUUCGCACCUCCAGUUAUUUAAAACAUACAAUUGUCCUCUUCCGCAAGAGCGUAGUCCUUCAGGUGUUUGAACAAGGUGUCUCCCUCCUUUUCCUGAGCAUGUAAGGGUCCUUAGGAAAGGUCAUAGAAAAUGCAUAUUGUGAAAAAACUGCCUGAAUUUCUAAACUUCUUUGCCAAAGUAAACCUCUCCUUUGAUUCCAUUUUCAAAAAAUAUUUGAAGUACUCUCAUGCACAUCUCCAGGCUGUAUCGCCUCAGUUGCCUAAUUCUUCAUGUGACAUAGAUUGGCGCCCUUUCAUCAUCCCGGUUUCUGUCCUAAACUCAUUCUUAUGCAUUACUAAAUAUUUUUUUACUUGGCCAAAGUUUUAUGUUUCAUGAUAUCUUUGUAUAUAGUAUUCUAUAUUUCAUGAUAUCUUUGUAUAUCUUAUUUGAUGUCCUAUUGAAUGUCUAUCAUAAUUUCAUGAACACCUUGUUCUCAAGGUCUUCAUGGUUAUGGCUCCCUCUGCCUGGAGCACUCUCCCUCGCUCUCUCAUGAUCAGCCUCUUCUGCAGAUCUCGGGGCAGUUUCCACCUCCUGCACAAAGCCACUCUCAUCCCUGUUUCUACUACAGGCAGCUGCUGCUUCUGGGUCUGCCAUAGACUUUAUCACAGCAACCUGUUGUCUUGUCUGGAUGGCAUUGCCACUCUGCAUCUUUUUUUUCCCAUGAUUUUUUAUUUACUUGAAAGGCAGAGUUAAAGAGGGAGAGACAGCAAAAUAAAUUUUUUAUACAUUGACUCACUCCCCAAAUGGCCACAAUAGGAAGGGUUAGGCCAGAGCCAGGAGCUUCUUCCCAGUCUCCCGUGUGGGUGAAGUGGCCCAAGCACUUGGGCCAUCCUCCGCUGCUUUCCUGGGCACACUAGUAGGGAGUUGGAUAGGAAGUGGAGCAGCCAGGACUCGAACUGGCACCCAUAUGAGAUGCUGGCAUUGCAGGCAGUGACUUUACCCGUUAUGCCACAGCACCAGCCCCUGUCUGCAUUGUCUUAUGUUUAUGUGUAUGUUAAACGAUAUAAAUCCAUAAAUGGAAAAUCGGAUCAGAGUUCGUCUUGUUCCUCACUGUGUUCUUAGAGGGCUGGCACAUAAGUGAAUUUGACAGUUGUGGGUCCAGAUUUGAGCUCCUUUCCCCUGUAUAAUUCCUUUUAUAUUGCUUCCGAGUUCUUUCAUCAUUUCCCAUAAACCAGUGGUCUACUUUGAUAAAACAUAUUUGCACAAAAGUAAUAAACAGAAAGGUGUACUUGUUCUUCUGCUGGGAGGUAUUUGUGAAUUUUGUGUUAAGUGACUUGUCAGUGUAUGGAUGUCAACCAUGCUAGAAAUUCACAAAAUGCACCAAAUUGUGGCAAAAAUAAAAAAAUUCCCGAGGCGCAGUCUCCUGGCAGAGGUUCUCAAACUUCAAUAUGCAGAACGAACAUUGAGGAAAGCAUUACAAAUAUUUCCAAGCCCCAAUUUUCCAAUCCCUGAAAUUUUCAUUUAGUAGAUCUGGGGCUAUGGCUCAGAAAUUUUUAUUAAUUGUGUGCAUUCAUUCUAAUGUUCAAGGCCCUCCAGAAACUGCAGAAUUAACUGUAAAUGAUCCUGAUGUGGGAUUGCUUGAGUGAAUGCUAAGUCUAAUACUUUCUGUAAUCAUUUACUUUAGGAUUUCCUGGCUGACUCAAACUUGCAUAAGCUGAGGAAAAAAAACAUACAUAAAGAUCUUGACCUCUGAGAUGUGAUACCAACCAGUUUUGACUUAGUCAUUCAGAUUUGACUUCCAAUGUUUUUCUUUGCUAUGAUUUACAGUUUCAGGUUAUUCCUGAAUAAUUCCGCUCAAGACCUGAGAAUCAAAUUGUCAACCCUGCCCUUGUAUAGGGGGAUCUGAGCUUGGUGUCUGAGAUUUUCUCAGAUCUGUAUGUUGUGAUCUCUUCAUUAAGUUUCCAUUAAAAGAAAAUACUUUAAUAGCUUAUCAGUAGUCUUGAUUCUGUGACGUUACCAGGGUGCAAUGUAGCUUUCACAGUCUCUUGCAAAGAAUGAUGCAUUAUACUGUUUGCUUCUUAUUUGGCGAGGAGGGAGUAUGGGAGAAUGUUGUGUUUCUAAGAUAAUAGUGGUAUUUGUUCUUUUUUCAUCAAGAAUCUCCAAUAGAAAGAAUACAUUAUUUCGCAGUUGUUGAGUGCCAGUGACAAAGCCCUGUGCUUUGUGUGGGAAUAAUACGAGGCUGACUGAGGUGGCUCUUUAAGGAGUAUGCGAUCUGAUGGUCUGACCGGGGCCUGACGCUCACUGUGUUUUAAGGGUUUUCAUAGACAGGGUCUGAGUUACUCGUUACAGUGGUGAUGGGCCGCUUUCCAGGGAGUAAGCACAUUCGUUUGGUCACGUGCUCAUUCUAGGUAGGGUUCUUCCAGCUUGGCGACAUUGAGAUUUGGGAUGACAACGCUUUGUUGCAGAGGCUCUGGGAUGUGCUGUAGACAUGUUAGCUCUGUGGAGCUGAGAACCAUUGCUUUACCAAUAAGACAAAAAUGGCAAAACUCCUAAAAGCCAGGUGCAAGCAGAGGCAAUGGGUGUGUUGAAUUUGGAGCAGCUAAUGCUGUGCGAGCUGACUGUGCUGUGGCAGGGAGUUGGGUGGCGGUGGGGGGGAACCUUAGAGGUCUUGGCAAAUACACUAUAUCUGGGAAUGUAAUUAGCAUUUUCAUAAGUGGGAAGGAGUGUAAUAAAAGGACUUUAGAACUGGACUGAGGUGUCUGGCUCUGCCUCAUUCCAGUUGCAUAAAGAUAGCCACCCUUCUUGCCAAGUCUGAGUUUCUUCAUCGGGCAUUAGAGCAGGGUUGCUCUAGAAAUUCACAUGGAAAAUAUGUGAAAGCUCUCAGUGCCUGACACUUAGUAGGUACUUAAUAACCUUUCCUUCUUCUGAGGACGCGUGCCAGUUCUGCUCAUGGUCUUGUUUGUGUAAACGCUUUAUUUGAAGGAAGCGAUCGUUGGUGAAUGAAGUCAAACACACAACUCUCUGCUUGCCUUCUGCUUGGGAUUUCUUGGUUUUUAUGUAUGCUCAGAAUGGCACCAUAUGCAUUAACUCCAAUCCUCGAUAUUUCUUGAAUGGCACUUGAGGAUGCAAUUGCUAUUUAAAGACCAUAGUUGGUCUUAAGUAUUAAAAGCAUGUCAAUUUCUCUAUAGUUGAUAACGACAAGAUAGAUUACUGGAGGAAAUAAGCAUUGGUUGAGGCACUCUGGUAGAUUGACAGUGAUUUUUUUUUUUAAACUGUAUUGUACAAAUCGGGGGGCAGACAACGGUACUUUCUCUUCAGGUAAUGUAAGAGCUAAGUAGAGCCUUUAUUGUGGCAUUAGUGGAGGAGUGUGGGGUAUUGAAGAUCUGCUGAUAGUUUUGGUUCUACCCCUAGCUUGUCUUAGCUCUGCGUUUGCCAUAGCUCUACUUGGGGCUUUGGUGAUCCUCUGAGAAUAAAAAGCUCUCUUUUUUGGAUAGAUCUCACCGGGUUGAGAUCUCACCAAGUUGAAGAGAACUAAUGCCUACGAAAGUAUUGUCCAAUAUAAACUGUGCUGUACAUGUAUGGUCUGAUUGUUAUGCUAUUCAUUAUAAGCAGGUGCCAGGUGCUGUUACAGCAGGGGACAGGGCAGGUUAGUCCUGUGGUGUUCUUUCUCUUCAUCUGCAGGCUCACUGUGCUGUGUGUUACCAAGUAAAUGACCAGCUCUUCUGGAUAGCUUGAUGCCACCCACAGAACCAUUCUUCAGUCCCUUCUCUUGCCUGCGUCGGGGACUUCAGGCAAAUGAUGGUUAUUGGAUGGAGUCGGGUCUCUCAGCCUUUGCCUCUGCCUGACUUCUGGCAGCUGCUUGGAGAUGUUUCCCAAAGCAUGCCCAGUGGAACCCCGAGAGAAACUCUGUAAACAAAGCAUCAUAGCAUUGACCACUCUGCCCUCUCGAAGGAAGACAGCGUUUGUAUUGCUUUGUCUUACCUAGUAUCUUCCGAUUUAUUUUUAUUUUUAUUUUCCAUGGAAUCCCUUCUCUUUUCACCACAAGCAACCCCUGCUAAGGCCUCUGGAUAUACUCCACUAGACAUCAGGAUGACUUGUUCCCCUGUACCACAGAAGUGUGGGGUCUCUGUUGCUGCAGCCUCCCUGUCAUCCUAUCACUUUGGGUCCAGGGGCUGCCUUUUCUGUUGGCUCAUCAGCCAGCUGUUGGGCCAGGUCUGAUAUGUUCAUCUCCUUCACAGAUAGGUUUUAUACUAUUUAUAGUAACAUAUUGACUAUUAACAUAAGUUAAUGAUAUGGUCAAGGAAACUAGUUGGUUUCAUUCAAUUAAGGGAAAAAGUUGCAGCUGUCAAAAUAUCAAGCAUUGUUUUUAUACGAGUGUAGAAACUGAUUUUUAACAUCAAAUAGACAUUUAUUUACAAAACAGCUCCAAGGUGUAUAGUAAAUGUGAAGCAUUGUUCUUAGUCAUACAUUUCUUUGACUUGUAGCCAAGCUUUUGGAAGAUCUAAUUAUUUAUUAUUAGUCUCAGCAUGUAUUUUGAUUAUAGUUGACAGAUUAUAGGUAACAGUUUCACUACUGCUCUUAUGUAGAAGGAUCAUUUGCUUUUGAAAUGUGUUGGCCUGAUGAGUUCACAUCUCCAGGGUCUUUCAGCUCAUUGAUUGUUACAGUCUUAUUUGAUUCGAGACCAUGCCAGCUCAUGCUGUGUCUAGAAGGUUGCCGUGUGAGGAUUUAGGGCAGGGUCUUUGUGAGUACCUAUGUGCUGGGUGCCAUACGGAAGAGUCCCCACAGUUGCCACCAAAACUUGCUAGGGGGAACCAUGUGGAUUUCUUGUUAGUGCUGGUUGCUCUCAGCCCCCACUGUGCAUAGAAAUCUACUGGAUAGCUUUGAAAAACUAAGUGUCUGGAUCCUUCCCUAGGAAUUAAUUUGGUUUUGGUGGAUCUGAAUUAGGUUAUUUUCUCCGAAACUUCCCAGAUGCAGCCAGGAUUGAGAGCCGCUGGGCUCAGUAUGGCUUCUCAGGUGGUAUACAUGCUCUUUUGGGUGUCUGCCUUUAGAGAUGAGACACAACCACUCUUCUCUCUGCCCUGGGAUUUUGUUUACUUUUGCUUCUGUAUUUAGUGUCAGCCUUCAUAAUCAACUAGUAUCUGCUUGGCCUUGCCUUCAGGGUGUACUUAUAGAUAAGCAUGUGGCAUAACCCCAGCCCUCACAUCUUUGGGUACCAAGACAUGUAAAUUAAUCGCUUCAAUAGUGUCUCACAGGUACCAUAAGAGUGUACAGAGCAGAGCUAAUUCUGUGGGGGUUGUGGGAAGACCAAGAAAGGCCUCAUAAAGGAGCUGACUCCUGAGUUGAGUCUUGAAAGAUGAACAGAUGUGUGCAAAGUUAAAAGUUAAAACAUUCGGAGUUGGGGGUGGAGAGUGGUGUUAGCCAAGAUUCGUCCAUUGUUGAUAUCCUGGGUCAGAGUGGAUGACCUUGGGAGAAGCAGAGCUUGGAAGCAGGUAGGAUUUGUGCUACACAAACAAGGACUGAUGGCCCUUCUGGCUUUAAGUCUUGGCCUUGUGAUUCAUUAGUUGCGUGAGCUUAAGCAUGUCUUGGUCUUGGUUUCAUAUACAGCUGAUCUGAUUUAUGAUUUUUCAACUUUAUGUUGGUACAAAAGUAUACCCAUACAAGCAUUCUGUUCUUCAUUUUCAGUAUAAAAUUGAACAAGUUACAUGAGAUAACUUUACUAUAGUUAUAAAAUGGGUUUUAUGUUAGAUGAUUUUGCCCAAAUAUAGGCUACUGUAAGUGAUCUGAGCAUGUUUAAGGUAGGCUAGACUAAGAGGUGAUGAUCCGUAGGUUAAAUCUACUAAGUGCGUUUUCAAAUUCUGAUGAGUUUGUUGGAAUGUAUCGCAUAGUAGGUGGAGGAACAGCUAUAUAAUGAAGGGGUUGGGCAUGCUCAUCUUGAGGACCUGCACAAGUUGCUUGCUUGAAGCCAUUGAUGGCUUGUGCUUUCCCAACUGUGAAACUCUGGACAGAAAUAUUCCAAACCAUCAGCAAGAUGAUUUAUUUGGAAUACUCGCAAAUGUGACUUGAUACCUGUUUGGCUGGGUGGCUUUGAUGUGUCUCUGUGCUGAAGGUUGUAGAUAGGUGAGCAUUUUCUACCAGUUUCUCAUUAACCAGACACAAGAUUUUGGCAGAUUCUUGCUGACUCAAUGGAUGAUAAUAUAAACUUAAAAAAACCACACACACACACACACACACACACAACAAAACACAAAGACUUACUUAUUUGAAAGAGCAUGAGAGAGUGAAUGAGAAAGGGAGAUCUUCCAUCCACUGGUUCAUUCACUAAAUAAAUGCAGCAAGUGGAUCUAGGCCAGGCCAAAGCCAGGAGCCAGGAAUUCUGCCCGGGUCCUCAGUGUGGGUGGCAGGCAUCCAAGUACUUGGACCAUCUUCCACUGCCUUCUGAGAUGCCUUAGCAGGAAGUUGGGUGAGAAGCAGAGUAGCCUGGAUUUGAAUGGGCGCUCUGAUAUGGAAUGCUGACAUCCUAAGUGGUAGCGUAACCCACUGGACCACAACUUCCCCGAGAAGACAUAUUCUUUCUAAUACUGGAUGACAAGGUGGCAAGAUGUGGCCUGCCACUCAUGUGUCUACUUUUGAUUAGAAGAACUUUAGAUUGCUUUAGUUCAAAUGACUUUCAUUCCAUCUCAUAUCAAUGAAUUGUCAAAUAACUUGAUGCACAGCAUCCUCGUGACUUGUAGGGUUUAGAUCUCCUAACACCCGUAAUGACUUGGUGAUUAUAAGGCACUUUCAAGUAAUUAAGCAAUCAAUAGUUACUAUGUAAUUACCAUUAUUCUGGGGUUAUUUGUAAGUCGUACACGGAGCCUUGCCAGGAUUACAGAUCCACAAUUUGGGCUGCCUCACAUUUUUAACUGUUUUGCACAUGGGAAACAUUUGAGCCCAUUUAAAAAGAAUAAUCAGUUGGGACUUGAAGACUGAAUUUCUUAUCUCUGGCUUAACCUUAAUUUUAUUAAACCCUCUUGGAUAUUGUAUAUGAGUAAACACACACACACACACACACACACACACAUGUCUGCUAUUUUACAAGAAGAUACAGAACUCUACUAAGUAGGAGCCUUGCCUGGUGGGGAGGGUCUAAAAUGAGGGGGGAAGCCUUGCCAGGGCCUGCAAGUAGGGCUGUGUAUGACUCGAGUGCUGUGGCCUUGGGCAUUGUUUCAGAUCUUGGACCUGUCCACUUUCCAAGGCAAUGCCCAGAACUUCUGUGUCUGUUCUGUUCCCAACUACAACACGAAGAAAAGGGUUGCGGCUGGCUCAGUGAGAACUCUAAAUACAGAGUAGUUAGCGCAGCAGUCACGGUCAGGAGGGCCUUAGUUUUGUAGACUGCAGGGAAGGGUAGAGACGGGUGGCCUUUGGCGAGAAAGCUCCGUAUUGUUUUAGAUGACUUGCCGUGGUUGUUUACUGUCACCCAUUGGGACAUAAGGUUGGAGCUGAUACUUCAAAGUGUUUCUGGAGAAAUUCUAUUUGAUCUGUACAUUGUACUUCUGGAAGCUGUAUGAGGCUUCUAGAGAGAUUUAUCUUAUUGGAAACUACUGUUUUUGAGUUGGGCUUCUCUCUCAUUAUAAUAAGAAAUGCAUAUAAUAAAAUUAUCACUUUAGCGAGUUUAAAUGCACAGUCCAGUGGCAUUCAGUACACUCACAGUGCUGUGUGGCCAUUACCACUAUCCAUCUCCAGGACUUUGCCAUCCCAUUAAACACUAACUCAUUUCCAGCUUCCCACACCAAGACCUGAGUUUUUUGAUCUCUUAAGAAAUUCCCAGUAUAAGUAUGUGCAGAGAUGAUUGGUGCAUGGAUACCAUCUUGUAGCACGGGGUUUCUAACGAGCCCAGAAUGGGUCUGCACCUCCAUCUGUCCCUGGGUGGCCAUUUUCCAGGUGACUCACAGGCAGCCCACUUCAUCCUGAACCCUUGGCGCCACAGGGUUGCAUUGUGUUCCUGGAAGCUGGAACUGGCUGAAACCCUUCAUUUUCCUACCUGGCUUAUAUAGAAAUAACGUGAUCCCUCUCGGGUAGAAGUCAACGAGAAAUGUCCCAGGAUUUUGUAUAAAUCCUGAAAGAAUGGUGUGCAUAUUUUCCAUGUGAAAAUGUUCUUUCUGGGUUGAAUUUUUUUUUUUUACCAUUUUUUUCCAGUGAGAGAUAUUUACCUUUAUAUCAAUUAUUUUUGUCUUGAGCGGUGAAGCAUUCUUCCCACAGAAAUGGCAAUAUUUUAUACAAAAGCAGGAUAUUCUGGAUAUAAAAUGGUUUAGCAUAUGCACCGAUCUCCUUCCAACACACAGCUCCUGGCACUCCACGUCCUUGUCUGUGAGGAGGGUCUCCUGACUUGGGUUGAAUCCAAGACUCGGGGAGCACACUUCUGUGCCCCUAAUCCCAGAUUCUCCUUGAGUGACCUCUGCCUCCCCCUCUAACCUCAUCUCUGGCUCAUCCUGAUCCCCAUUGUGGGGUGCAGGGAGCACAUGGUUUUUUGUGCUCUCCUCUUCCUUGUCCCCAGCUUCUCUGGGCUAGCACCAGCGUAUCCCUGCCACAUCCCUAACUAAACGAGUUUGAAGGCCUUCUCUGUACCGUGUGGCUCUCAUCAUUUUGUAACGUCCAGUCUGACUGUCUCUUAUGCUGAACCCUGAUCUCUUUGAGGUCUGGGACAUCACCUUACAAGGUAGCUGGUUAAAAAUAUCAGCUUAAGGGGAAAGGAGGCGUGCCACUCACACUUUGCUGAAUUUGGAAUGCCCAGUCUCAAUAGGAUAUGGGAGCUUUUGCUUACUUUCAACUCUUGAUAUAUAUGAGUGUACUUCAAAAAUUCAUAGAAAAAUGAGCUCAAAAGAUUAUUUGGUAUUUAAGAAAAUUUAAUCUAUGUAUCAUUUCUGAGCUGUGUAUAGAUUUUUAUGAGCUUUUUGAAGAUGCCUUUAUAUUAAUCAGACUGACACUAAAUGCAAAAUUUAACAGCCAACAGCAAUAUAAGUAAAAACAGUGUUCUUCACUUGUCAUCCAAUACAACACAUGAGGAUAGGAUAAAGAAAAAACUCCCCCUUCUUUCUAAAACUGUGGCUAAGCAAGAGCCACAGCUGACUUGAAGUUUUAAAGACCCUGUUACACACUUCAGGUAACAGGUGGAUUUUUUUUCAGACUGUUUUCCUUCACCGAUGCUUUUGGACUAUAAAGUCAAAUAUCAAUAUUGAAGACUGGAAUUGUUUUCAUAAAGGGUUCAUUGUUCUGAUAUUUAUUUGAUUCAUUUGAGGGAGAGAGAAAUCUUCCAUCUGCUAGGUUACUCUGCGAAUGCCUGCAAUGGCUAAGACUGGGCCACGACCAAGCCAAGAGCUGGGAGCUCCACCUGGGCUUCCUGUGGCGGUGACGGUGACCCGAGCUCUUGAGCCGUCACCUACUGCCUCCCAGAGUGGGUGUUGGCAAGAAACUGGAAUUGGGAUGUGGGUUUCGCCCCUGUUGAUCAUUUCAUUUGUUUGUCACAGGUUGUGAGAGGUAUGAUUGUCCCUAUCUCCCCAAUGAAGAAACUGACGCCUCAGAGUACAUAAAUUAUUUUCCCAAAGCCCCCAAGUAUGUGACAGAGCCUUCCCAGAUGAGUUAGCCUAAAUUCUCUUGGCUCCAUUCAAAAGUUUUCUACAAGGAAAUAUGUGUUUAAAAACAAAACAAAACCAAACCUCCUUAAAUGUUUGGCAAAGAUGGCUUUGCCUUUCCCUUGCAUUACAGGUUUAGAAUUCAUUUCAAAUAGAUCUGAUAAUUCCAAACUUAAUAUAUACAGCUGUGAUGCCACAACUUGUUUUAAUGUAUGAUUCUUCUAAUCUGUAUAUCCAGAAUAAUGAAGGAUGAUUGAUGGUUAGGAAUUAAUUGCUAAUUUCUUAAUGGAAGAAAACAUUGUCUUUAUACAAUGUACAAGAAAGAUCAGAAGGGAACCCUUGUCCAUCUACUGAAAGGAACUGGCAUGUCUUGGGCUAGUGGCCUUUGACAAUAGGAAGUUGCUCUGUGCUGACUGUUUGAGGGAGCUGGUUAUUUUUUUCCUCAUUUGCUUUUGGUGGGAGUGGUAAAGGAAAAGAAUGAGUCUAGUCGUCUUCAAAUCAUCCACUCCCAUAGCCAAGUGCAUGAUUUUUCCCCCCCCAGAAAGAGUGCAGUCAGACUAGAACAUGAUAAAUGUUUGUGGAAUUAAAUUGAUUUAUUCUCUCAGCUGUAGUUAGGUACUUCUGUGGAAAAUAAAAAUGGAUGAAUCUAACUGUUCUGGAGACCAGACAGUAUUUGCCAGGUGCAUAAUUUAUGCUUCUUUGUUCCAGGCAGGGGAAGGCCAGUUCUCUGUAAGCUGAUGUUUUUGCCAGUUGCUUAUUUUUUGAUUUUACGUGGCUUCUUCUGAGGGGCUGUCUGGGUUUGUUUGGUUUUGAGGGUGGAGAGGAAUGAUGAGACCAAGGGUGGAGGGAAGGCAGUCUGGGUGGCGCACCUGACCUGGCUACCAUAUCGGCACCCAGAUCAGUCUUUGGAUCAUUAGUGUGAUGCAUGGUAGGAAUACCUAUGCAGAGACCAUCCAUUUCUGUCUUAACUGAGGACCACAUUCUUCAGAAAUGUAGCAUCAGGGACCCAGGAACACUGGAGAAGCCUCCAAAGGCAAUUGUGAGAUGCAUCACUGGCGAAUGCUGCCCACAGUCAUCUCAUUCUUUCUCUUUGUGAGUUGCGUCAGUGACAGUUACAGAAGCAUGGGACAGUGCGUCCUCUUCUCUGGAUGGAGGCAGAGUUGGCUGUCUAGUCUCAUAAAAGGAGUUUUAAAUUGGAGAGAUUCUGAUUUCUCCCAGUAAACAUUCUUGUUGAUUUCAGCUGGAGCGAGGGGGGGAAUGUUUUGUGACCUAAGCGUUUGGUACAUCUUGUUCUGCUAUCUUGUACACACUUAUGUACACACUUGGAGAGGUACUUCCGAACUUUCAUAUCCUUUAUUGCCCAAAGAAACCUACUACAGAGCCAAUCCUCAAGCCUCCUUCUCUAUGGGAAUGCACCCCUGUGUGAGUGCCCUGGGGGAAGAGGCCCUGGGUACCAAGUCCUCCAAGUUACCAGGGCCUCCGUGAUGUGCAGCAGGAUGGGGCCGUGGAACAUGCAGACUGAUGAGGAGCCACUGCUGCCCUUCUCCAUGGGCUCCAGUGUACCUGCUGCUCAGGACAACACUUGCCUGAACAGAACGAAUGCCCACAGUCGAUCAUCUGGGUGAAUGUGUCAUACGUUACGGUGUAGCCAAGAAACAGCCUUGAUAGGGGAGGGGGGAAAACACAAAACAGAAAGAGAACACACACACGCCUGCCAGCAGAUCCCAAACACAACAGCCUCUAAAACAAAAAGCUCUUUGUCUGCAUGCUGUUUUCCAGUCUGGGAGCAUAGAUUUCUAAAUACCUGGUUAAGUUGAUGAGUAACACCAUGGUCAAAUGUGCUCUUUGAAAUUCGGCCUAAAUCCUGUGCAUUAUGGUGCCAACAUUCAUUGCAACCCCUAUUUUUGGGAGUAGAAGUAAGACACUUCUUGAUAGUGUUGCUCUUUAGACCCCAGUCGCCACUUAGGUCAUUUCUCUGAGCAGUCUGCAGUGUGUGUUAACAGUAUUAGUCUGUGCAUCAGUUGCUAGGGAGUAUCUUUGUAUUUCUCGCAGUCACAUCUGGAGAUUAGGUGGGAUUUUGAUCUCCAUUUGCUGACUGAACAAUGAAUAUCAGGUUUCAAAGUCUUAUUCGGGAUCUUGCUCCUCAAUAAGCCAAAGGGUAACAACUUGGAGAACUCCUACGUUAUCAGUCUUGUUCUUACCCAGUCCUGCUAUGAGCUGUGCUUCGGUUCUCUUGAGGUCCUGCUUGAAACGAAGAGCGUUUUUCUUUGCAAAUUUCCUUGAGGAAAUUUGGCUAACCCAGGUGCUCACAUUCCAGUAUGAGUAUGUGGCACUCAGGUCAACAGUUGCUCUGUGGCUAUGCGGGAGGAAUCCCUGUCUUCACAGUCAGUGUUUUGGGUUAGAGCAGAAGCAGUGAAACUGCCUAAUGCUGAAUAUCAGUAAAAGUAAAUUACAAGGGUGGGGUGCAGCACUGGGGUACAGCAUCGAGCUGCUGCUUGCAAGCUGCCAUCCCUAUCUGUGAGCUGGCUCAAGUCUUGGCUGUUCUACUCUGAUCCAGCUUCCUGUGGGAGCACCUGGGAAGGCAGUGGAGGAUGGUCAAGUGCGUGGGCCCCUGCCACUCAUAUAGGGGAGACUGAGUUGGUGUUCCUAGCUCCGGGCUUCAUCCUGGCUUAGACUUAACUGUUGCAGUCAUUUUGGGAGUAAACCAGUAGAUGGAAGAUUCUCUCUCUCUCUCUCUCUCUCUGCCCUCUCACUAUAUCACAGUGCCUUUCUAGAGGGAAAAAAAUGUAGAUAUACAAUGUAUACUUCCAUUUUGUAUUUAUUCUGAGUUCUAUACUUUAUUGUUACUGAAUUUCUCACUAAGAUAGUAGAAGUUCAAGACAAUUCUUUUCUUCGUGGCCCAAGGUCACCCCAGGAUAGAAAUGUGGGCUUAAAAGUUGACUUUGCUACAACAGUGGCAUCUUACACUAACAUUCACUUUUUGGGAGGAUUUGGAAGGGAGAUAUUUACAAAAAAUUCUCCAGAACAAAAAUUCAAAGAAACAGCAAGUAUCAACUCUGAGGAAGAAGCAGAAUUACAGACAUUACUGUCUGUUUUUACUAAGAGAAGAGAAAAUGUUAACUUUUGAACCCAAGCCCAAUGAGGAGCCUGAGGCCCAGGAACUGACUUGUAAGCAGAGCAUGGCCCACACUGAGGGGCGUGCCCUGGGGGAAGACUGGGACUGUGUCUCAGGACUUGACCCUCAAAGGUAAGGAUGAGUUCUGACCUCGUGUUCUGGUUUGUUCAACAGCCAUCUCUUUGUGCUUUUUGUCCCGGGUCACCUUUGGUGGUUAGACAUUUUAUGGAUUUUAAUAUGUGCUUUGGAUGACAGCUGUUGACUUUUCUUCUGACCUGUGGCUCAUGUGUGUCUUUAAAACUCAAGGGCUGACUUUUGUCCUGUGAACAAUUAAGCAGCACUCCUAUGGGAAUGUGUAUGUGUGGUAUAUGUAUGAAAUGCACCUGCCCAUUACGUGAAAGGCUCUUUACUGGGCUUCCAUUCCAUAACAUUGGAACGUCAAUACUUCUUACGCUGCUUAAUGGGUAAAGAGUCUGAACCAUAGUGAGUUUGAGUUGCCCUAGGUCACGCUGACAGCCAGUGGCUCAACCCAGAGUUGAACCCACAGCCCUUUGACAUUAGUGACUUAAAUAGACAUAACUCACUGGCAUAAUGAAAGCAUGGCAGGACCAACUGCUCAGCUUCAAUGUGUUCAGUGAUCUGACCUUUAAUUCAGAAUUUUCUAGUUUAACAGAAAACUACUGUCUUUUUGUUCUUGGGGUCCCUUUUUAAAACAAAGCCACACUGGCCACUUUCCUUUAGCAUUAUUUCCAUGCUUUAUUGCUCUCUGGCCAUUUAAAAAAGAUGUACAAAAAAAGGCAUUCUGCUGCUCACCAGUGACCUCGUAGUUUGACAAUAUGUUGAAACAAGCGUUCUUCAAAAUAUCCCAUUCAACAGAAUAGGUGACUUAAAAGUAAGCACUCAGCCAAAAUAUGUUGCUAUUCUUUAAGUUUCUUUGGCUUGGGUCAAUCAAGUAACCUUGACACCACUUCUGCAUUUCUGAGUACAUUGAAACCUCAUUAAUUUUCCGAGAGGUUUAAGCUGAACUUGACCUUUUUAAAGUGCCUUGGAAGGAAGAACUUACCAACCAAUUUAAGAGUCUAAACAGAAGUUGAAGUUUGUGAAAAGCCUCUGUCCUCAAGUACCCUCUGGUAUCCUAAAAGGACUGCUUGUUUAUUCUUAUUGAUAUGCUAAUCACAAGUCACUCUUCAAUAUUAAAGCCUCUCCUCCAAGGAAUUUGUACAUAACCUUAAGUCGGGUUACCGUAGGAACUUGGUCCAUGAAACCGAACAGUGAAAUAGUUCCUUAUUUACAAAAUGGUACCAACCCUUGCAUCCAAAGCAGCCUGCUGUAGGGAUUUUGCCAAGUAUUAAACCUAUUAGUGUCAAGGACUCCACACUGUGAAGGAUUUGGUGAAAUCAUUAGUUCAUUUGGGUAAAUGAACACAAGAAAGCUUGUGGCUAAGUCUCAGAAGGGGUUCCUUUUAAUUGUAUGUAUGGAAUAGUUGUCUUCCUCCUUCCAUGAAGUGAGGUAGCCUUGUGGAAUCCAAAGCCUUAAAAAGUGAAUAGGUGAUUCUGAGGCUUGUCUAGCAUUUUUAAUGCCACUUGAAGAUAUAAUGACCCUGAACUCAAACCCAAACACAUACUUUUGUCUGAAGCUGUUUGACAUUUGCCUAAGACCAUUGUUCCUCCAGGAGGAGUAGCCUGUUGUCCAGCAGUUUGACAGUCGCCAUGUGUGGAGUUGUUAGAAAUGAAAACUCUCAGGCCCUCCCAAACCUACCAAAUCUUGUUGCCAAGAACCCCUAGGUGAGCUGCAUGCUUGCUUAAAUUGUGACAUGAGAGCCUGUCUUUGGUCCUGAGGACUAAAGAUUGCUUAACCAGUGAAAUGCUUUUGUUAGAUGAAGAGACCAUGGAUCGAGGGUUCAGGUUGAGCAAAAAGUCCCAGCCGGACCAUAUUACCUUUGCAUGAAUGAUUUGCCUGGGAACUGAGGACAUGCAGCAUACAAGAGCUUGAUGCCCAAUGCUGGUUGGCUUGUCACACUCCACAGAGGUAAAUCGCACAAUCAGAUAAGUGAAGAAGAAAAGGCGCAAGUUCUCAGUUCUGGCAUGAAUGGGGGUACAUGGCGUAGGGUCCUAACACCUGAGUGGAGAGUAUGCACAGUUCUGAGGCCUUCGGUCUGUACUGUGCAUUGGAAAUGUUUUUCCCCACCCUUAGAAGGUCACUGCUAAGCUCUGUCCUCCAAGAUGUUUCCGUUUUCUGUGGUUAAUAUUUUUAUUUCACAUAAUAGUGCAAAAACAAAUGAGACUCCAAGAAUAAGUGAAUUCUGUUCUCCGAAAUAAGAUCCAGUAACGCUCCUCAUGAAAAUAUGAGCAGGUCCUUGUUGUGACUGACCACAUGGACUCUCUGACGGCUUUCCAUCAGGGCUUUAGAGACUUGCCAAGUGUGUUUACAGGGUGCGAUGGAAGACCGGUGCAUUCUUAUACUCAUCCCUAUGCCUGUAUCUGCAUGCACUCAGACACACAUAUGAGUACACAGAUUCCUGACUGGGAAUAGUGAGUAAGAUAGUGUGCAUAAAGGAUAAGUGGGACUGAUUAAAGUGAUCGUUUUGGGAAGAAAUAGCCAAAUGGUUCAGAACAUAUGCUUUGGAGUUGCAUCCCUUGGGCCAGAAUCUCGGCUUUACCACUCACUGGUCGUCUCACCUAGGGUUAAUUGCUUCACCUCUCUGUACCUCGAAUUUCCCUUCUGAAAACUGGAAGUAAUAAUAGAAGUGUUAGCUAGUGUUUAAUGUAGGCUCUCGCUGUCUGGAGUCCAGUUAGGGACUGGGUUUUCCAAAAAGCAAUGGGACUUUAAGCUUUUUUGUACGCAAAACUUUAACUUCCUCUUAAUUAUCUAAUUGUUAGUAGUUCCUUUUCCUCCUCUAAUUGAAUUUCAACAAGGCAUAGAAUUAACAGAAAACAUUUGCAUAUGACAUUAUUAGGUGUAGUCCUCCUGUUUGUUGAGAUCUCUCGGCUAGCUCCAGGAACACUUCAGAAUCCUGGGAUCAAACAACUGACCAAAUCUAAAGAUUCAACAAGCGUGUGUUGGCCACUAGCUUUGUUCCAGGCACAGUUCUAAUAAAGAGGUUAAGAGUGUGGGUUUGGAUCUGAGCAGACCUGAAUAAUAUCCCGAUUCUGCUGAUUACCAGCUGCAGUGUUUUGUGCAAAUAUUAAGUAAGGACAGUGGUAUUGCCAAUGGCAGAGGGGAAUGAACUAAUUGAGAGUCUUUGGCACCUUCCUCAAAAAUGUUGACUUUUGUAACUGCCGUGAUUUGAAUGUUUGCGCCCUGUCUUGUGUUUGUAAUUAAGUUUACCAGCAUUUAGAGCUGGGCCUUCAGAGGUGACAAGUUAUGAAGGUGGGAUCUUCAAGUAUAAGAUUAGCAGCUUUAUUAAAAAAAAAUGCUAGAGGGAGCCAGCAAGGUCCCCUAUGCCCGUGUGCUCCUUCUACCAUGUGAUGCCACCUAGAUAGUACAACUUUGAGGAAUGGGCAUUCACUAGACACUGUGCCUGCAGUGUGUUUGUGUGUUUAAGGUUUGAGAGGCAGAGGUGGGUCUUCCAUCUGCUGGUUCACUCCCCAAAUGGCCACAAUGGCCAGAGCUGGGCUGAUCUGAAGCCAGGAGCUUGUUCCAGGUCUUCCAAGUGGGUAUGGGGGCCCAAGCACCUGGGCCAUUUGCGACUACUUUCCCAGGCCGUUAGCAGGGAGCUGGAUCAGAAGAGGAGGAGCCAAGAUAUGAACCUGUGCCCAUAUGGGAUGCCAGUGCCGCAGGUAGAGACUUAGCCCACUAUGCCACAGUGCCGGCCCCUCCUACUGCGUCUGGACCUUGGAUUUCCCAGUUUCUGGAGCUGUGACGAAGUUCUGUUUAUAAGUUGCCCAUCCGCAGGUAUAUUGUUACAGCAGUGCAAAUAAACAUGACAAUGUCUUACUUGUCUUGUAAUCCUUUUAAAUGUUCUUAAGAAAUAUAGAGUGUUUGUUUUUGGCUGACCCGUCUUCCAGCCCUCUGGGACAGAUAUCAAUGACUUUUAAAAACUCCAAAAGACCUCUUUGCUUUAGGAGUAGGUGUGGGGAGCAACCCGGACUAGACUGAGUUACUGGAAUUAAGACUUAUUCUAUGCAUCUGCUCUCCCACAAUAUGGCGCUGGGAGAGAAGAAAACAGCUUCUACACAGGUGCCUCCAGUUCAGCCAAUAAACUGUAGGACUCGCUCCUGAUUGGAGGAGAGCAGCGUGCUCGGCGUAUGGGCAGCCGAGUUGGGAUUGGCAGAGGAGGACUAUAAAGGAGGAGAGAGACGGCAUGCACCAGGAACAUCUAAGGGGAACAUCUAAGGGGAACACCUGUGCAGCCCCCGAGAGAGCCGGCCGGCGGUGUGCCGCUCCCCUGCGGAAGUGGGGAGUGUGGCCAGGGGGAACCGCCCUUCCACGGAGGUGGAAGCGACAGUAGCCAACCCGGGAAGAACCAGCAGCAAACCCGGGGAGGGCCGAGCAGACGAAAGAACAGCGCAGGGUCCUGUGUCGUUCCUCCACGAAGAGGGGGAGCGACAGUAGGUAGACCAGUUCUCUCUUGGUUAACAACUCUAGACAUCAAAGAAGGAAAACAAAAUUCCUUGAAUAUUACUUAUAGGAGAUUCUGGAUAAUACUGGCUACUUCUCUCUCUCUCUCUCUCUUUUUUUUUUUUUUUUUUUUUUAAGGAAAAGGGUUUAUUGGGGAACACCCUACAGACCGGAGUGAAGGGGCGGCAAAGGAAAAAGAGAGAAAGAGAAUAUAAGAGAGAAACAGAGAGGAGAGGAGCUAGCAAGGAGUGAAGAUAAAGCAGAGAAGAGGAGAGCAGAGCCAAGAGAGAAGAACCAAGAGCCAAGAGACCAGAGGAGGAGGCUAGAGAGAGGAACCGGGAGAGAGCAGGAGAGAAGGGCCAAGAGUGUUCAGGAACAGGCCCUCUUAAAACUUUGCCUGAGGGCGGGCAGGGAAGCAGGAGCAGCGAAUCCCAUUAUGAUGGGGGUGGAGCCUGGCUCAGGUAGCUGGGCCAUGUGGCUACCUGGGCUAAAACUGUGUAUAGGAGAUCCUGGAUAAUACUGCUACUUCUCAUUCAACAAAGAAUCUGUCUUCUAGGGAGCUAAAGCAUGCAGGAAUGGAUUGCUUUCAACUAUUAGUGGGGAAAGUAUCCUUCCCUAAUCCAGAACCGGGCCAACAUGGACUGAUUAUAGGCUUUGCAGAAAUACCUGGCCAGAAAAUUAUUCUCACUCUCCAUUGCCCUAUUUUGAUAUGACCCCAGAUGGGCAAUUUUGGGAAAAUGUGUCAGAUUGGCAGAGUCUGGGUGAGCAAUCUACACGCUUGACACCAUCUCUUGUGAUUCAGGAGUCGGAUUCCUCUAGACCCUCAGCUGAUUAGUUUAGGCCCUGAGGCUGCCUGACCCGUGCAAGAUUAUUCCAGCUGGUAGGACUGGACUUACUGAUCUCACUUGUGUGUGAAUGUUUUGUUCUUGUGGGGAUUCUUUAUCAAUUAUUUGCCUCUAUCCGUACAAUGCAAGAGUUAUUCUGAGACCAUCUCAUGGGCUAAUGAAAGGAGAUGUCUUGUCCCAAGCAACGAAUAGCUUACUCCCUUAACAGAAUAAACCACUAAUUCUGAAAAAUAAUCAUGAAAAUCAUGACAUAUGGCUUAAAAUAGUGAAGGAAUCAGAACAUUAUCCAAAAAACUAUUUUUUCCCAGUAGACUUACGAUGGAGAUACUAGCAAUAUUUUACCAUCAUCCUUCAAAAUGAAAGUAAUAAGAAUUAUAUGGAAGCUUUUUUGGGCGUUUUAACUCAUUUUUUAAAGAUUUUAUAUAUUUAUUUGAAAGAGUUACAUGGAAAGAGGAAAGGCAGAGAGAGAGAGAGAGAGAGAGAGAGAGAGAGGGAGAGGUCUUCCAUCCAAUGGUUCACUCUCCAGUUGGCCGCAACGGCCAGAGCUGAGUCGAUCAGGAGCCAGGAGCUUCCUCCAGGUCUCCCACAUGUGUGCAGGAGCCCAAGGCUUUGGGAUAUCUUCCACUACUUUCCCAGGCCAUAGCGGAGCGCUGGAUCAGAAGUGGAGCAGCUGGGUCUUGAACUGGCACCCAUAUGGAAUGUUGGCACUUCAGACCAGGGUGUUAACCCUCUGUACUACAGCACCGGCCCCUAGCUAAUCGUAAUAUUUAUCAAGCUUUAGCCAUUCUCAUUUUUUUUCCUGCCAGUUUUUCUAGGACCUAAUAAUAUUUUUACUUGAUAUUUUUCAUGAUUUUACUUUUUUUUCAAAAGGGAAAUAUUGGUACUAUAAACUGGAAACCUAUUACUUUCAGCUACACUUUUAAAAAAUUAAAGAACACACUAUAUUUUAAAGAUUUACUCAUUUGAAAGGCGUAUUUAGAGAGGCAGAGGCAGAGAGAGACAGGUCUUCCAUCUGCUGGUUCACUCCUUAAAUGGACACAAUGGCUGGAGCUGGGCUGAUCUGGGUCUCCCACUCAGGUGCAGGGGCCCAAGGACUUGGGCCAUCUUUCAUUGCUUUCCCAGGCUGUAGCAGAGAACUAGAUUGGAAGUGGAGCAGCCAGGACUUACACUGGUGCCCAUAUGGGAUGCUGGCCCUGCAGGCGGUGGAUUUACCCACUAUGCCACAGCCCUGGCCCUUGCUUUUCAAAUUAAAACAUUUGCCUUGUCUCACCAAAUCAGGGUGGUAUUGGGACCACUGUAUCUUAGGAAAUAUCAGUGUUACCUGUCUUCUGAGGUUUGCUAGCACAGCAGAGGAGAGAAAUUAAUCAGGGCUAUAUUAUAAAUUUUAUGGGCUCUCAGCACUUUUUCCUCUAAAUAAUGCAUCCACAUAUUUUAUAUGAAUGGAGAAGAACAAGUCAAUAGCUCAAAGCAUCAGAAUAUAAUUAGAAGAGCAAUUAGAGUAAAUCUUUGGACUUUCUAAUGAAACCUGUGUUCCAUAGCCGAAUAUUCCUCACAACUCAUGAGGGUGGGGAAGGGGGAGAGGGAGGAUAGGAAGGGAGGACACAUUUGUUUUUAUGGCUCUCUUCCUCCAGAGCAAAAUUACAUUAAAAUUUGGAUUUUGUGACUUCUGUAUAAGAUGAAUAUACUUAUACUACAUUUAAAAAUAUUUUCUUUGACCUAAGUUAAUUUUUUCUUGGAUUUUUAAAAUUCAUCGGACAUUUUCAUUGGCUUCACAACGCCCUGUGGCCCUAGGCCCUGGGCCCACUGUACCUAGCAGGCAGGUCAGUUGGGAGCUACCUGAUCCUCUUGGAGCUACCUAGGGGCCUCGUUGGGGUGGCUGGUAGUGAGCCAGUACAUUCACAGAAAUGAAAUGUACUUGAAAUCUUGUGUUUUUGUCUUACAAUCCAAAUUUACUUCUAUACCAGGAAAUAAUCAUUGUUGUUUCAGUGUAAAACAUGUUAAUGUAUUUCCUACAGAGGAUAGACUUCAGAGAGAAUUCUGUGGUUUCUUACUGCUUCUUGGCAUAGAACUGCAUACCUUGGGGAAUAAAUGAACUCUGCUUUAGCGGCACAGGCAUGCGGCAUAAAAGGCGUGGGAAGCGGUUAUUAUUGUUGGGAUAUUUUUUAACCUGUGCUCAAGGGGAGGCAUUGUGUUGAUGAUUUUACUUGCUGUUACACAGGUGGGCGAUCUUGUGAUGACCGAAGUCCACUGGGGUUCUUAGAGCAUAGAAGAAUUCAUCCAGCACUGUGUGGUUUCACGCUCACUGAUAAAUGUCUCUGUUCGUAGGGCCUAGUUGAGUGGUUAAACUCUCCUGGCUAUUUCCAGCCAAGAAGAGCAGUCACUUGGAUGACGAGAAAAUCCAGCUUUUCACCUCCUUUUGAAGGAGCCACUUCCCUACGGUCUCCUUGGUAUUGGGAGGAUGGCUUUCCUCCCCAUCCUCUCAUUACUGCCUUCUCUGGGACAGGCUAUUAUAAAAGCUUUUUGUUUGUGAGAUCAGUCCUCUGAUUUCCAGCUUCCCCUCUCAAACCUAAAUACCACGCUUGAAGUUCUCCCAAAUUGCCAUCUGCAGAUGGCUGCUGGGUAUUGUAUGCUAAAUUAGGUACCUUGCUCUCUUGAAAAGUCAGUCCUAAUGAGUCAUCCAAUUUGCUGAUUUUUUUUUUUUUUUUUUGGUAGGUGUGACCAGCUAAGUGCCAUGAGAGAGAGGGUCUGAAACAGAAGUCAUUAGGACCAGGAGUUCAUUUAUCCUGAGUUUCUUGUACUUGCUUUUUUGAUACACUUCUCACCAAGGGUUAGCUCUGCAGGCACUUAGGACUUGCCUACUCCGGAUCCAGAUACCAUUUAGCAGCAGAAUGGCUGUUGCAGAGAGCAGAGAUGCCCUGCUCUGCAUGUUUGUGCCUGAGCUAGGGUGCCGUGUCCUCUUUUUUCCAGCAAAUGAAGAAAUGAAUGAAAGGUGUUCUUAGGACUCCAGAAACGAAGUAGGAGUCCUUUAUGACAUGAUCAUCUGCUGCAUCUAAAUCCAUCACUAAGCCUGGCUGGCUGUUUCCCAAGUGGUUCUUGAGUUCCUUCUUCUGCUUUUUGUCUCUGUCACUGUCCUUGUCCAGGUAACGGGUGCCUCUCGUGUGGGUUGUCCCCUGAUGUCAUCCCUGCAGCUCUGCAUUCAGACGGUGGAGCUGGUGAUGUCAAAAUGUUUAUUGGUCACGUCGCUUUCCUGCCUCAAACCUUUCAGAUGGCUUCCGAUUUGAUCAAGAGAAGACUUGGCCCUACGUGGUCUGGCACAGUCUGACCAGAGGCUGCUUCUGCACGCUUGUCUUGAUGCUAAUGUCUGUGGGACCCACACACGCUGCUUUCUUGUAACACAGUUCUAUUGCACUUUCCGAACUUCCUGGAAUGUUUCUUGUCUCAACUCCAUGCCACUUUCUCACAAAAGCUUUCCUUAAGCCCUGUUAGGAACUCCCACAGUCCAUGGCAUAUUCCUUCAGGAUGCUAAACUCGAAUCAUAGUGCUGCAUAUUGGUUGACAAGUGCUCACAUCAGACUGUAAAUUCUACGAGGGCGUGGAUUCUUCCACGUGGUUCCACACAGGAUUCUUAGUAACUAGCACAGAGCUUAGCAAAGAUGAGAAGUUCAAUAAGUGAAUAAGUAGAGGGUGGUGCAUGGGUGACAUACUUAAUGUGUCUGUGGAUAAAUAAAAGUUGAUAAAUAUUUCCUGAUCAGUUGGAUAUGUAACUAUGGGUCUAAUCUCUAUCAGAGUAGAAGGUUAUGUAACACUUUCUACUACUUGUCUUCAGAAAUUAUAAAAUAGAUGUUUUGGAGCUUAGAGGGGAACAUACGUACCUACUGUCACUCAGUUCUUGCAAUGUUAAGCUUUUGGAGUAACUCAAACAACGAACCCUGUCAGGCACAGUCUGUCCCAUCUGCCUGGAGCUGUCUUCACCAGAUACCCCCAGUGCUUGACCUCUGCAGGCUCCCAGACCUGUGAUCAGUGUGUGUGCUUCCCCAAGCACUUAGGUGACACCUUGCCCACCAGGUCUCCCCUCUCCUGUUCCCCUUGCCAUGCUGCCUCUUCCCCCAUUGUGCUUGCUACCAUCUUCGAUUGAUUGAUUGAUUCAUUCAUUCAUUCACUCAUUCCCUGUCCUUUUCCACUAGAUGCCCCUUGAGAAUAAUGGUUCCAUUUCUACUUUGUCCCCCGCACCUAGAGCAAUGUUAAAUGCUUCGAUAACCCUAGAAGCAUUUUGUUUUUUGCAUGUGUGAAUGAUCAUCUUGAAGAAACACCCAAUAUUUUAUUCUUUUGGCCCCUAAAGAAUAAAGGAAAAAAUAAGUUUACUUUUACCUUUUUACCUCUUCUCACCCUUCACCAAAAAUUGGGUUCCUUGGUGUUUUCUCUCCUGCUGGUACAGGGCAAGCAGCUUGGGGGCAGAAGGCGUGAAGGCUGGGUUCCUCCCUUCCAGAGUGUGUGCUGUAUACGAGCUCUUGACUGCCAAUUAGAAAUCCAUGACUCUGGGCUACUUCUGCUUCUACUUUUGCUUCCGGGGCUUUCAUUGUGAGCCUAAGACUUACCUACAAAUACCUAGUUUGUUAGGUGGCAAAAGUUGGGGGGGUGGGGCCCAACUUAAGUUGUUUAACCUAAAAAUAGCAUCUGGCUCUUGGUUAAGUAGCAGCCUACUGCCUGCUCUUGCAUUCAGUCCUCCUCCAGCCGAGAUGUCAUAUAACAAAGGAAGAGGCUGGUGGUCAGAAGCCAGGACAUUGCAGGGCUCAUUAAUUACUUGGAAAAUGCUGCCUGGGUUGCAGCCAGAAUCCCAGACAAAGAAAGGAAAUAGCUCCUGUUCCUCAAUUGACAAGUUGAUGAGUGAGGUGGAAUGAAAAUCACUUGGGUAAGUGAAAGGGGGAAGAAAUCAAAUGGAAGCAGUAGUUUUGUUCAAGAACAAGUAUACAAUUAAGACAUAUUCCCAGCCCUAAGGGGGUUGAUUCCUAUCAGUUGAGACCAUGGAAAUCACUAUCUGCUCCCAGCCGUGAGAUGAAUUCAUUAUCUCUAAUAAAAGGAUUGGGAACACCAAUUUAGGAAGUGUUGAUAGUGUUGGAGCCUGGGCCAAAAUACAUGAUAUGUGUACGAAUGAGUUAUUCAUCUCAACAGCUCCCAUAUUGCUUGGACCUUAUAACGACUGUGUGGUGAAUAUACAGAAGGCUAAACCUUGUCUAGAAAUUAAAAUCCAUAGUUUUGGCCAACCUAAAAAGUCGUAAGUCAUCUUAGCGAACUUUAUGUAUUAAACGAGGUUAGUUUCAAACAGGAAGUCAGUUAAUAAAAACAAGAAUUUUAAUGUUGAUGUGAAAAGAGAUAACGUAAGAAAAAAUAUACUUAGUUGAAUAAAGCCCUGAUUAAUCUCGGCAUGGCUAUAUUUUAGGACAGAAAGUUCCCAAAACUCAGCAUGUGACUUUCAUGAUACUGAGCUGUGCUAAAUACUUAGGGAGGCCUGAUCAUGUAACACUUAGCUAAAAUGAAGCCAUCAGUAAUUGCUUUCCUGUGUGAGAUUUAUGUUUUCAGUAUCCGAGUGGCCAUAUGUCUCUGCCAUUUAAAAACUGCAUUAGGGAAAAAGGAGAGUGCAAACACACAUGCUCCCUACUGCUAUCCCAAUAAACCUGUGCGUCAAGAAGAAAGAUGUUUUGAUGGCUAUUCAAAUAGAGAGUACUGUAAAGGGGUAGUCUGGAAUUGACGAUCUCAAGAUGGAGCCAUGUCCUUUGGGGAAGAGGUAAUCAGAUCUGCCCAUUGAGGAUUGUGUGUGUAUAUCUUUCCAGAUGUGUGAAUGCAAACUAUAGUUACAAAGAGAACUGCAAGCAGAGGCAAGAUCUGGACUAAAAGGAAAGCUUUUAUUUUUGUUUUUAUUGGAGGAGGGCAUGGAGAAGAUGAGGAAUAAAAUGGAAAUAGUUCCAGGAAAAGACAGAGAUGAACUGAAUAUAGUAAUGGAGGGAGGGAAGGAAGAAACACAUUCACUUGGAAAUGCUGAUUUCUGCUCCCAGCAGAUGUGUUCAAGGCUUGGUUUGUAUAAAUUGGUCGAGAGGGGGUCGUGUGAAAAAGGGGCUGCCCUUUAUUUCUGUUGAAGCAAGUGGGUGAGGCAUCAAAUUGACAUGUGCGUUUUGGGUAAACCACCAAACAACUCUUUAAUAAUCUCAGUUGUGAUGGUAUCCUGGGCCUCAGGUAAAAGAAUGAUUAGAGAAACACCAGAACCCUGAUUUUGGUAUGUGACCCUAGGGGACACUUGGAGAAGGAAAAAAAUGAGCUGUGGUACAAGUAACCUCUGUACAGAAACCAUGCUGCGUGCUCAGGCACCGUGCCUACCAGCAUCAGUUGACUCCCGAGAAUCUUGAAGACCAAGGUUCCCUUUGAAACAGAUUGAGAGCAGGUGCUGGGAUGGUCAUUAGCACUGUCCAUCGAGUCAUGGUGUGCUCCCUGCAUUCCAGGCACAUGGUGGGAUCACAUGUCCUUAUCUCCCGGGGGUCUGUGGGGCUAUGUGACUACUGAAAGCCAGUGAGUUGUAAGUCCAGGUGCUGGAGUGGGGCAUUUGAUGGCUGUUCCACAUCUUUCAGUCCUCUCUCUCCCUCAGUGACAGUGACCCACAGCCUGACAGAUGAAGGGCUGACCAGUGAACCUAGAUGUGUGUAUUGCUUUGAUGCACGAUACUUGGUUUGGAUUCCAUUUUUUUAUUGUCCUUUUUCUCUUACUGGGUACCAUCCAGCUACCAUACUCCAUUUAGUUUUCAAGUCUCCUUAGGCACCUCUUGGUAACAAUAAUGUCUCAGACUUUCUUUGCUUUUGAUAACCAUGAAAGUUUUGAGGAAUCCUUAUUGGGUAUUUUAUAGGCUGCUCCUCAAUAAUUAGAUUUUUUUCAUGAUUAGACUGGUGUGUUUUUAUCUUUUUCUUGGAGGGGGAGGAGGAAGACCACAGGUACAACACCAUUUUCAUUAUAUCCUGUUGAGGGUAUGUAUCAUCAGCACCAUCAACCCUGUUGACAUUCACCUUGGUCCCCUGGUGGAGGCAGGAUUUGCCAGUGAGGAUAGUUUGCUUUCACUAUAAAUGUGCUCACCCGUUCUUUCUGCACAAGUGGGGGACUAGAAUUGGGAGCCAGAGAUGGCCAUUGAACUUGGGCAUUCUGAUAUCAGAUGUGUGUCUUAACAAUUAGGUCAGAUGCCUGCUCCUUGGGAAUGACCUUUUUGACCUUAGAAGAGAUCAAUUCUAUAGGGUUGCCCAUUUGUUCCAGAAUAACUUUGGAAGAAGCUGACUGCCUUGGAACCAGUUUGGCUCACUCCAAGAAUUAAUCUCCUCAGUAGGCAUCUGUGGUCCUCCAGUCUUGUGCAGGGUUGUGUUAGGCACUCGAGGGAUAUCCUUAGGGAGCUAGCUAGAGCCUUGUGGGAGAAAUGAGUAAAGCCCAUAAAUAAGUGAAUUAACAAGGCAUGGUGUAGGGUCUUCCAGGAGACUUGAGCCAUGUUCCAUGUGAUCAGGCUCCCUUUUAAGCUGUGGGCCUAGUCACUGAGUUGAAAUAAAAUGAGAGUAGCUUAAAAGUAAAGUUAUGUUCAUUUUGAAUUUUAAAUUAGGCUUCCUGAUAACCAUUGGCUAGUGACAGGGAUCCUAAUAGCCAAAAAACUUGAGGUAAGCCAGGCAUAGUCAUAUCUGCUUUAGGAACAUGUUGACAAUAUGUUGUGUACUAGUUUUUCUAAUAUUAAAGUAAUAUAUACUUAUUCUGGAAAACUUGAAAUAUGCAGAAAAAUAUAAAUGAAGAAGCUUAAUCGCCCUCAAUUUAACUACCUAGAGACUGUUGAUGGUCUUUUUAAAAAAUACAUUUUUCCCAGUGUUAGAAUCAAUAAAAGUAGUCUGUUAACUUUUAAAAUAUAACUUUUUCUAAUAUCGUUAAGUAUUACUUAGGAUAUCUUCAUGGCAGAAUUAAUGCUUGUUAUGUUAAGUAUAUACCAUACGUCACAUAGCAGUUUAUUCAUCCCAGUUUCUUGAUAUCACAUCUUUGAACCUAAAACUAUGUAAAUUCUAUAUAAUUUUAAUAUACUUGCAUGAAAAUAUCUUCUAGAUACAGCGAGACAAAGGUCAGUCAGAAUGGCCAAGCAAGGCAGGCUGGGAGGGGCUGGAAACCUCCCAUUAGCUGGUGGGUGCCAACAAACUCCUUGCAGGUGAUACCAGAGGCCUGGAGCUGAACAUGCCUGCAUCACACUGGCUUCUGGUAGUUAUUUGUCAGCAGGGACCACGGAGCUUGUGGAAUAUCCCAAGAAUUUUGAUUAGAUGGUUUUAAGACUGGGCAAAAAUGGUGUGACGUACCCACAAGUCUAGAGAGAAGCAGCUUGACCAUCAGCCAGUCUGAGAUUGAGCUGAUGGACUUCAGUCUAUUCCACUGGCAAAUGCUGAAGGCCUACUGUGUGCCAGGUGCCAUACUGAAAGGUUGUCCUACAAAGAAAUAGGCACGUGUCUCUGUCCUUGUGGAGCUUUCCUUCUAAUAAGGGGCAUCUUCUAUGGAUGGGGACCUACAAAAGCAAGGCAGACCCUCACCCUAGAGGAACUGGGUGUUAGGUGUAUUCCAAGACGGACCCAAGAACAGGGAACAAGGAGAGCCAGCCAUUAAAACUGGUUUCUCUAAGGUGCUGAUGGAAAGCUCAGGAACAGAGCUGACUGUCAGACAGGCACAAAGUCAGCAAACUCCUAGCGAGAGUGACUUAUCACCAAGGUUUGGAGUGGAGCGUAGAAGUGUGUCUUUCUGGUCUCAGCCAAUGUUGUUUGAGGACUUGCCUCAGCCUACAGAAUAAGGGAUUCAAGGCUGGUACCCGGAUGCUGAUUCCUGGGUGUGUGAGAUGGGAGGACAUUUAAUGCUAAUGACUGAAAUGGAAAAGCCAGGAAUGUGUACAUAGCCUCCUGUCCAGCAUGGAUUAUAGUAGACUUCAAUAGAGAUUAGUGGAUGAAUGCAUGAAUUUAAAAGGGAAAGAUAGGUGUUAUGGAUUAGAUGGGAGAGAGCAAAAAGUUAAGACUAUGGAUACAACAUAGUCUUUAUGAGCUUGGGCAGAGGCAGACCAUUCCAGAAUCAAAUCUUAGCUCUUUCAUUGUCUUUGUGACCUUGGACAGGGUACUUAAAAUCUCUGAGCCUUAGCUUCCUCACCUGUAAAUGGGGCUAUUCUAGUACCGACGAUACUUCAGGGUGGUUUGUGCCAGGCAGUGGGCUUGGCUCUUGAUUAAAAAUUGCCAUAGUAAGCAUUCAAUAGAAAUUAAUAGAAUUAAUAAUUUAAAUGUAUGGUUUCCUGAGGGGGUAUUACUAACAUGUAACAUGCUGUGGUGAGGCCCAGCUUUCUUUUUUAUCAAUAUCAUGACUAGAUAGAAAUGUUACUGCUUUCAUAGAGAAGAUGGAAUUUUACAUGCAGCAGCGAUACAGGUCACCUGUUUUCUUACUGAAAUAAGGGCUUAAAAUGAAGCUAGAAAGAGUAGAAGGGUUAGCAUAUGUAAUAGAAUAGUUUUUUGUUGACUAAGGAUAAACAACUUUGGGGUGGGGAGCUACAUGAUGAAUAAAAGUUUUCAAACAAUUCAUGGAAAAUGUUAUAAAAAAACUGCAUGGCUUUCACAAUUACUUUACAUCAAAAUAGACAUUCUCAAAAUUCCACUUCUUGAAGUCUUCUCAUAUCUAUCUUCCAUUACCAUAAUAGUUACUGAAAAAUAGAUCCAUUUAGCAGAAUCUCAUAUAGUUAGGUCUGUGGUUGAGAUUGAGAUAUUAAAUAGCUUUAUCCUCACCCCUUGUAGAAACAGCUUCUCCCCACUUAUGCUCUCGCCAGUGUGGCAUAGAGACGUCGAAGACCCAGAGCUGGGGCUCGCUGUCCAUUUCCUAAUGUUUUGGCUUCUGCUCGCAGACACGAUGUUGAUCCCAAGGGCACGGUGAUGGUCUCCCUCUGGGGAGCGUCUGGGAAUCUUCUCUGGCUGCAGAAGCUCAGUUGCUUGCAUGGUAGAUGUUGAAGCUUCUUGUAGAAGUGAGUCCUGUGUUCAGACAUUGCCUUUGGGAGGAUGGUCUUCCGCCUUCCUGCAUGGUGGAACUCGGGCCUGGAUAAUGAUCUGUGAAAAGAGAUGCUGUCACAAAGGAUACACUCAGGUGGUAAGGAAGGUAUGUGGUGGAUGUGGGCUUUGAGGGAUAGGGAGUGUUAAGUAGUAAUAAGGGAACUGAAGUUUCAUUCAAAGUCUUGCCUUCCCCAGACUCCAGAAAGAACUAUGGCAUAGGAUAUGUAUCUGCCCAGAUAAGAUGCUCAGGACUGAGCUGUAAGAGCGGGUGUUCCUGUGUCCAGCAUUACUCUUCCUUUAUCAUUUUGGCCUUUAUGUCCCUUCCUCAUCUUUGCUGGUUAGGUCCUUGGAGUUCUCCAUGCAUAAAACCUAUUCCCUAUUCGCCUUCCUAUGCCUUCCGUGGUCUAGGUAGCAGGCACUGUCGCUCUGUUCGCACUGUGAGGCUCUUGUCCUCUGGGCUCGGAGGGGUAUUCAUGUCUGUCUGUCUUCACAGGAACUUUCUGCCUUGACAUGAGAUUGUUGGGAGCUCCUUGGAAGUCAGGCUUUCCUGUGAGCUGUCCUGUGUUCUCCUGGAGCGAUGCCCCUCUGUGUGGAACAUUCUUGGGUCCUCUUUCGUGUUUGAAUGGCACAAGGGCUCCGAGCUGGGCAGUGUGUCCUGUAGGACCCUCAUGCUAUAGAGGAGGACUCUGGCUUGGAGGGGUGAGAUGCUGGCCCUGUGGGGAGGGGUGGGGCUCCCACAUGCGGGAGAGGAGGCCUCCUGGUUUCAUCUUGGCGAUGGUCUCAGUGAGAGGCUCUGCACCCAGGGGAGUUGUGCUGUUGAAAUGAACAAGCUGGGAACUCGUUUUCGGGCACUGUUUUGGAUCGCUGACAUACUCCUGCCCCAACUUGCUGGCCUUAAACAUGACCAUACUGACUUGGUAUCAUUUGUAGCUGAGCUGUGCAAGUGGAAAAGCUGGCGCCUCUAAGGAUCCAUCAGAGCUGGCUGGCUAGGUCUCCAAGAACAUUCUGGUAUGUCUGAAAA